rnacentral:rRNA from 1 species
AUGCACGCUGGCGGCGUGCCUAAUACAUGCAAGUCGAGCGAACAGACGAGGAGCUUGCUCCUCUGACGUUAGCGGCGGACGGGUGAGUAACACGUGGAUAACCUACCUAUAAGACUGGGAUAACUUCGGGAAACCGGAGCUAAUACCGGAUAAUAUAUUGAACCGCAUGGUUCCAUAGUGAAAGACGGUUUUGCUGUCACUUAUAGAUGGAUCCGCGCCGCAUUAGCUAGUUGGUAAGGUAACGGCUUACCAAGGCGACGAUGCGUAGCCGACCUGAGAGGGUGAUCGGCCACACUGGAACUGAGACACGGUCCAGACUCCUACGGGAGGCAGCAGUAGGGAAUCUUCCGCAAUGGGCGAAAGCCUGACGGAGCAACGCCGCGUGAGUGAUGAAGGUCUUCGGAUCGUAAAACUCUGUUAUUAGGGAAGAACAAAUGUGUAAGUAACUAUGCACGUCUUGACGGUACCUAAUCAGAAAGCCACGGCUAACUACGUG